GAUGAACGCUAGCUACAGGCUUAACACAUGCAAGUCGAGGGGAAACGAUAGGGAAAGCUUGCUUUUUCUAGGCGUCGACCGGCGCACGGGUGAGUAACGCGUAUCCAACCUGCCCAUCACUUGGGGAUAACCUUGCGAAAGUAAGACUAAUGCCCAAUGACGUCUCUAGAAGACAUCUGAAGGAGAUUAAAGAUUUAUCGGUGAUGGAUGGGGAUGUGUCAGAUUAGCUUGUUGGCGGGGUAACGGCCCACCAAGGCGACGAUCAGUAGGGGUUCUUAGAGGAAGGUACCCCACAUUUGAGCUGAGACACGGUCGAAACUCCUACGGGAGGCAGCAGUGAGGAAUAUUGGUGAAUGGACGAGAGUCUGAACCAGCCAAGUAGCGUGCAGGAAGACGGCCCUAUGGGUUGUAAACUGCUUUUAUAAGGGAAUAAAGUGAGUCUCGUGAGACUUUUUGCAUGUACCUUAUGAAUAAGGACCGGCUAAUUCCGUGCCAGCCGCCGCAGUAA
rnacentral:rRNA from 1 species